AGAGUUUGAUCCUGGCUCAGGAUGAACGCUAGCUACAGGCUUAACACAUGCAAGUCGAGGGGAAACGACAUCGAAAGCUUGCUUUUGAUGGGCGUCGACCGGCGCACGGGUGAGUAACGCGUAUCCAACCUGCCCAUCACUUGGGGAUAACCUUGCGAAAGUAAGACUAAUACCCAAUGACGUCUCUAGAAGACAUCUGAAAGAGAUUAAAGAUUUAUCGGUGAUGGAUGGGGAUGCGUCUGAUUAGCUUGGUUGGGCGGGGUAACGGCCACCAAGGCGACGAUCAGGUAGGGGUUCUGGAGAGGAAGGUCCCCCANAUUGGAACUGAGACACGGUCCAAACUCCGUACGGGAGGCA
rnacentral:rRNA from 1 species